rnacentral:lncRNA from 1 species
CAUUUAUGGAUUUCGGAUAAUUUCUGUUUGGAAUUUGGAAAAACUUCUUUCUGCAAAGUUGUAGAGAAUUGAAUUUCCUAUAAAAAGUCGCAAGAUUCGAAUUUUCUGACAAAAGGGCUAUUUAUCAUGAAUUAUUGAAGCUCCGGAGUUCCGAAAUAAUUGAUUUUUGGAAGUUUUAAUUAUUUUAUAUAAGAAAAACGUUUUUG